AGAGAGCCCUAUUUAGGCUUUCUUUAUUGCAAGUUCUGUUUAAUUAAGAUUGUCUUAUCCCCUGCUAUGUUAAUAGCUUGCUAGACCCUGCAAGAGCCCCUCUAUGUGAUUAAAGUUCAAUUUAGAGAUUGAGAUACAAUUAUUUAAGGUAAAUUACAUCUGUUUGAAAGUGAAACCAGUUUUUUUUUUUUUCAUGCAGGCUCUGUCAAUCAUAGCCAGGGGAGGUGUGGCUAGGGCUGCAUAAAC